GAGCCUGGCUCAGGAUGAACGCUAGCUACAGGCUUAACACAUGCAAGUCGAGGGGAAACGACAUCGAAAGCUUGCUUUUGAUGGGCGUCGACCGGCGCACGGGUGAGUAACGCGUAUCCAACCUGCCCACCACUUGGGGAUAACCUUGCGAAAGUAAGACUAAUACCCAAUGAUAUCUCUAGAAGACAUCUGAAAGAGAUUAAAGAUUCAUCGGUGAUGGAUGGGGAUGCGU
rnacentral:rRNA from 1 species